UACGUAGGGUCCGAGCGUUAAUCGGAAUUACUGGGCGUAAAGCGUGCGCAGGCGGUUUUGUAAGCCAGAUGGGAAAGCCCCGGGCUUAACCUGGGAAUGGCAUUUGGGACUGCAAGGCUGGAGUACGGCAGAGGGAGGUGGAAUUCCAGGUGUAGCAGUGAAAUGCGUAGAUAUCUGGAGGAACACCGAUGGCGAAGGCAGCCUCCUGGGCUAGUACUGACGCUCAUGCACGAAAGCCAGGGGAGCGAACGGG
rnacentral:rRNA from 1 species